CUUCUACAGGCUUUCACUCACAGAUGAAACAUUCUGUUCGGUUUAAGUUCAAUCCAGGUUACCAGAGUUCUGCACAAAACUGUAAACAUAUUGUGUGACUCCAGUUUGGUUUUCAGUCAGUUAUUUUCCUCUGGGUCAUCAGUGGUGUUGCACUUAAAGAAGCAGAAGAGAGAACAAGCCAUGGACAUGUACGGCUGUUACCGACCUUUUCCCAGAUGGUAUUUUUAUAAAAACAAAAUGAUAAUCCGUGAUUCCAUCUUCUUCAUCACUGGUGAAUGUGCGGGUUUUCCAGCUCUGCUUUGGGCUUUCAGUAUUCUGUUCCAACAUCAUAAGAGUGGAGGUGGAAUCUCCUUCAUUGCCAUCUUCCUCCUCCUCAGUGACCUGCUGGAGCUGAUUCUGAGUCCAGUUUUAAUGUACAUUUGCAAAGGAGAGAGUAUUUGUAUAAUUGUGAGAGAACUGUUAUUGGGAGUGAGGCUCUGUGGGCAUCUACUUCACCAGCUGGUGGCAUUAGAAAGUAUUCUUACUCAAAAACAUCCAUCACUUGCUGUUCUUUUCUCCCGAACCUGCUCUGUUAUCCUAUGCAUCUUUGUGUGUGUGUUAGCAAUUGGGUUCCAGUUCCUUCCAAUAUACUUGCCUGUUAUAAAUGUAUUUUUGUGUGUGUUACCUGUAAAUGUGUGUGUAGUCACCUGUAUAGUGACUUGUAACGCCUCUGCUGACACCAACCAGGCCACAGACAGGAAGCCAGGCGUGUUAGUGCUAAGUGUUGCCAUGUUUACUCUGAUCAUUUUAUAUGUGCCAUUUUACUUGCAUUGUUUUUUUUAUCUACCUUUUAUGUUUGAGGUUCUGGUGAGUAUGAGGCUGAUUUCAGAGCCCCUCCUCUGUGCUCUCGUCUGCAGGGAAAAUCGCAGACAUCCCAAGUCUCCUGGAAGUUCCGGGAGUCUCCCGCAUAUUGAUAGCGGCUCCCUGAUGCCCGCAAACCGGAGAAUAUCUCCCGGAAUCUAGAGCAAGAGCGCGCACGCGCAACAUUAAUGUCUGCAUCGCGCAUGUGACGGAGCGCGAGAGAGACUGCGUGUGCGCCUGUUCCUGUAGCGCAUGCUCGACAAAGAGCAUCCUGAUUGGCUUAUUUUGCUGAGUCAACCAAUCAGCUUUUUUUUUGGGGGGGGGGCAUAGAUAUACAUAGAAGACUAGAUGCCUCGUCCCCGUUGCCCGUCAGCGAAGUCGAACGUCCGCACAUGGCGGCCAUCUUACCUCAGACAGCUGGCUUACCCAUUACAUUGUGUUGGUAGCGAUAUGUACUUUUCAGAUGAC